rnacentral:tRNA from 1 species
GGCCGAUUAGCUCCUUCGGUUCGAGCGUAGUGCUAAUAACGUCAAGGUUGUGGGUUCAAUCCCCACACGGGCCA